rnacentral:tRNA from 1 species
ACUAUUUUGGCAGAAAAAAUGUAAUGAUUUUAGAGUUCAUUAAUAUAUAAAUUUAAUUAUAUAGAUAGUA